rnacentral:rRNA from 1 species
UACGAAGGGGGCUAGCGUUGUUCGGAAUCACUGGGCGUAAAGGGCGCGUAGGCGGCCCAGCAAGUCGGGGGUGAAAGCCUGUGGCUCAACCACAGAAUGGCCUUCGAUACUGUUGGGCUCGAGACCGGAAGAGGUUGGUGGAACUGCGAGUGUAGAGGUGAAAUUCGUAGAUAUUCGCAAGAACACCAGUGGCGAAGGCGGCUCACUGGUCCGGAACUGACGCUGAGGUGCGAAAGCGUGGGGAGCAAACAGG